rnacentral:rRNA from 1 species
GAGGAAAAGAAACCAACAGGGAUUGCCUCAGUAACGGCGAGUGAAGCGGCAAAAGCUCAAAUUUGAAAUCUAGCACCUUCGGUGUUCGAGUUGUAAUUUGAAGAUGGUAACCUUGGGUUUGGCUCUUGUCUAUGUUCCUUGGAACAGGACGUCAUAGAGGGUGAGAAUCCCGUCUGAUGAGAUGCCCAUUCCUAUGUAAGGUGCUAUCGAAGAGUCGAGUUGUUUGGGAAUGCAGCUCUAAGUGGGUGGUAAAUUCCAUCUAAAGCUAAAUAUUGGCGAGAGACCGAUAGCGAACAAGUACAGUGAUGGAAAGAUGAAAAGAACUUUGAAAAGAGAGUGAAAAAGUACGUGAAAUUGUUGAAAGGGAAGGGCAUUAGAUCAGACUUGGUGUUUUACGAUUAUCUUCUCUUCUUGAGUUGUGCACUCGUAUUUCACUGGGCCAGCAUCGAUUCGGAUGGCAAGAUAAUGGCAGUUGAAUGUGGCUUCACUUCGGUGGAGUGUUAUAGCUUCUGCUGAUAUUGCCUGUCUGGAUCGAGGGCUGCGUCUUUUGACUAGGAUGCUGGCGUAAUGAUCUAAUGCCGCCCGUCU